rnacentral:rRNA from 1 species
UACAGAGGGCCCAAGCGUUGUUCGGAUUCACUGGGCGUAAAGGGUGCGCAGGUGGUCGGGUAAGUCUGAUGUGAAAUCCCGCAGCUUAACUGCGGAAUGGCAUUGGAUACUAUUCGGCUAGAGGGUUGGAGGGGGGACUGGAAUUCUCGGUGUAGCAGUGAAAUGCGUAGAUAUCGAGAGGAACACCAGUGGCGAAGGCGAGUCCCUGGACAAAUCCUGACACUGAUGCACGAAAGCUAGGGGAGCAAACAGG